AUGAAAGGAGGCAAGGCGAUGGGCCCUGAUUGUAUCCCCAUUGAGGUGUGGAAAGGUCUCGGGGACAUAGCGAUAGUAUGGCUAACCAAGCUUUUCAACCUCAUUUUUUGGGCAAACAAGAUGCCAGAAGAAUGGAGACGGAGUAUAUUAGUACCAAUCUUCAAGAACGAGGGGGAUGUUCAGAGUUGUACUAAUUACCGUGGAAUUAAGCUGAUGAGCCAUACAAUGAAGCUAUGGGAGAGAGUCAUUGAGCACCGCUUAAGAAGAAUGACAAGCGUGACCAAAAAUCAGUUUGGUUUCAUGCCUGGGAGGUCGACCAUGGAAGCCAUUUUCUUGGUACGACAACUUAUGAAGAGAUAUAGGGAGCAUAAGAAGGACUUGCAUAUGGUGUUCAUUGACUUGGAGAAGGCCUAUGAUAAGAUACCGCGGAAUGUCAUGUGGUGGGCUUUGGAGAAACACAAAGUCCCAACAAAGUACAUUACCCUCAUCAAGGACAUGUACAAUAAUAUUGUGACAAGUGUUCGAACAAGUGAUGUCGACACCGAUGACUUCCCGAUUAAGAUAGGACUGCAUCAGGGGUCAGCUUUGAGCCCUUAUCUUUUUGCAUUGGUGAUGGAUGAGGUCACAAGGGGUAUACAAGGAGAUAUCCCAUGGUGUAUGCUCUUUGCGGAUGAUGUGGUGCUAGUUGACGAUAGUCGGACGGGGGUAAAUAGGAAGUUAGAGUUAUGGAGACAAACCUUGGAAUCGAAAGGGUUUAGGCUUAGUAGAACUAAAACCGAGUACAUGAUGUGCGGUUUCAGUACUACUAGCUGUGAGGAGGAGGAGGUUAGCCUUGAUGGCCAGGUGGUACCUCGGAAGGACACCUUUCGGUAUUUGGGGUCAAUGUUGCAGGAGGAUGGGGGUAUUGAUGAAGAUGUGAACCAUCGAAUCAAAGCCGGAUGGAUGAAGUGGCGCCAAGCUUCUGGCAUUCUCUAUGACAAGAGAGUGCCACAAAAGCUAAAAGGCAAGUUCUACAGGACAACGGUUCGACCCGCAAUGUUGUAUGGCGCGGAGUGUUGGCCGACUAAAAGGCGACAUGUUCAACAGUUAGGUGUGGCGGAGAUGCGUAUGUUGAGAUGGAUGUGUGGCCACACGAGGAAGGAUCGAGUCCGGAAUGAUGAUAUACGAGAUAGAGUUGGGGUAGCACCAAUUGAGGAGAAGCUUGUCCAACAUCGUUUGAGAUGGUUUGGGCAUAUUCAGCGCAGGCCUCCAGAAGCUCCAGUGCAUAGCGGACGGCUAAAGCGUGCGGAGAAUGUCAAGAGAGGGCGGGGUCGACCGAUUUUGACAUGGGAGGAGUCCGUUAAGAGAGACCUGAAGGAUUGGAGUAUCGACAAAGAGCUAGCUAUGGACAGGGGUGCGUGUAAGCUUGCUAUCCAUGUGCCAGACCCAUGA
rnacentral:rRNA from 1 species